UCUACUUUGCCCAAAUGCUGCAGAAACGAUUCACCGUUAUAUACAACAAUGCACCCUCACAGGUCUGCUGGACGAAAACUACGAAGGGUCAUCUUGGGACAGAGUGGAGCGCUUGAUCGUUUUAACCUGGCAGCCAGAGGAAUAUUGACAAAUGGCCUCCUCCACUUCUUGGCAAAUCUUCCCAGCCCCUUUCCCAAGCAGCCUGCCCCUCUGCUGAAAGAGAGUGAAGAGGGAAGAAAGGGACAGAGCUGGGCAGAGGAGGGCAGCUGCGUGUACGUCCUGCGGGAGCUGUGUGGGGGGGCCUGUCGGGGGCACAGCUCUGAUGUGAGGGGGGUG